rnacentral:rRNA from 1 species
GACGAACGCUGGCGGCGUGCUUAACACAUGCAAGUCGAACGGAAAGGCCCUGCUUUUGUGGGGUGCUCGAGUGGCGAACGGGUGAGUAACACGUGAGUAACCUGCCCUUGACUUUGGGAUAACUUCAGGAAACUGGGGCUAAUACCGGAUAGGAGCCCCUGCUGCAUGGUGGGGGUUGGAAAGUUUCGGCGGUUGGGGAUGGACUCGCGGCUUAUCAGCUUGUUGGUGGGGUAGUGGCUUACCAAGGCUUUGACGGGUAGCCGGCCUGAGAGGGUGACCGGCCACAUUGGGACUGAGAUACGGCCCAGACUCCUACGGGAGGCAGCAGUGGGGAAUAUUGCACAAUGGGCGGAAGCCUGAUGCAGCAACGCCGCGUGCGGGAUAACGGCCUUCGGGUUGUAAACCGCUUUCGCCUGUGACGAAGCGUGAGUGACGGUAAUGGGUAAAGAAGCACCGGCUAACUACGUG